rnacentral:lncRNA from 1 species
UUUUUUCCUGCCACCAUGGUGAAUUUAAAUGCAUUUGCUAUGAUAGCAGGGUUUCUGGAAAGCUUGCUAUGGUGUGAGUCUCUGAUUGGUAGACUGUGCUAUGUUUGCUAAAAUGUAAUUCUCCUAUAUGGCGGAUUAUUGAUUUGUUAUGUGCAUUCCUUGAUUUGUGGAAGGGUGCUCCCCUUGCUGGUGUGCAACUCUCGAUAUGGCAGAGAGUUGCAUUGCUCA